GGCCCCCGUCUGCCGCCGGGUCGUUAACGGGCAGCCAGGUCGCCUGCAGCACUACGGCCCCUCCCGCGCACGCGCGCCCUCUGGCGGCCGAGGCCGGAACAGCCCCUGAGCGUCCGUGCGGGCGGUGCGGGCGAUGCCGGCCGCGCGGCCACCCUGGUCCCUGCCUUCCAGCCGGGCUGCAGCGGAAAUCAGUGACAAGUGGGACGAGCAGCCAGAUGGCACGCAGUCAGCUCCCGGGUGCACAGAGAAAGCGACGCGAGCUGCCGAGGACGACGGAAUCACCAGUGAGUUCAGCCGCCACGCAUCAGAGGUCAUGAAACACCUGUCGGCUUUGUUUGUUUUACCAUUGAUGCAUUGACCAGACGCAAAUAGCAUAAAUUGUCAAAAGACCUGAAUAUAGAGAAUUUACACAAGGAAAAAACUUUCCAUCAUAUGAAAAUAAUGCUAAGUUACCAAAAUGUCCUGGCCUCCAUUUCUGGCCAGACUGUGAAGGAACUUGGUUCACGACAACGUUCCAGGACUGGGUGAAACUCGUGAUUCCAUCAGAGGACAGUUUGGUGCAGGACGAACCACAAGCCGUAAAAAUGAUCCUGCCCUAUGAUGGACCCCAUCAGCAGUCCCGGACCUGGGAAACAGGCGAAAGAUAUAAUUAAAGGAAGAAAAACGCUUUUGGAUGGGAGAUAAAUAUAGGAGGAUUCGUUAGAGUCAUACUGAGAAUGGACAGGCGGGCCGAGGGUUACUCCUUUUGAAGGGGACUGAGUAAGCGCGCUUCCCAACUUCCACUAAACUGUUUGAAGGGUUUAUUUUCCUUUAUUUGAAAAACCUAACACAGACGUUUUCCAAUGUGGGCUGUAUAUCCAGAAUAAUGAAGAAAGUAGCUUAAUUUGUCUUUGGAGAUAAAUAGCCACUUGAAGAUGUGCCUUAAGACAGCAAGCAUUGAAUUACCCUUACAUUUGUGGAUACUUAUUCUUUUUAACUUUUAAAACGUGAAGUAUAGUCUUUUAUUAAUAAAUCAAAUUUCUAUGUAAUUUUAUUCCUGUAAUGUUAAGUGUAGCCCUAAAACUUUGCUGUUAAUUCCCCAAAGAUCAUUCCUUUUCUCUUUACCACAAUAUUCAUGUCUGUAAGUCCAUUUCUGAGUAUAAAUGUUUAGAUAUUAUCGGGUCAGACGUGGAAGGCUGAAAGCUUUAAAAAGUCCUCCUGGGCCGGAAGGGUCCGGCCAGUGUGCCCUCAGUGCCCUGCGCUGCGUUCUUCCUCCCCACGGCAGCUCUUAUUCUAAUUCUUCCUCUGCGAGUGAACCUCGAGCCAUCUCCCCUGGUGCGUCUUGGGUCUUUAGCGCUGAGUCCUCAGAGAGUCGAGCCGUGACCUGUCCACAGUUGGUAGAUUUGUUGUGAAAACACCAGGACCUGCAGCCAGAGCUCUGUGGUGUCCUCCUGAAGGGUGGGGAGAGGGCCUCCCCUUGUCCUUUGGGUCACCUGGAGACCCUCUGCCUCGGAGCAGCGGCCUGGGUGUGAGAAAGUCUCAGCUGGUGAGGAAGGAGGUGGAGGUUUGCGAUUCUCCCACACGGAAUAUGAAGCCCGAAGAACUCUCCCCCAGGCCUCGGCCUCCGCAGACUCGGGGCUGGUGCAGCUCCGGGAGCAGCCGCUGCUCAGGAAGCUCCGGGCCCGAGCUGGGGGAGGGCCACGGUCAGGGCCGGGCUGGUUUACGAUUGUAACCAAGCAUCUCAGGAAACCUUCCUCUUUCCCUCGGCUUCUACCCUCUGCGCUGGCCUCACCUCUCGGUGGAGGGUUCUAUGAUACUUCUACUGUCUUAUCCAUUUUCGAGAAACAAACCCUUCCCCACGUGGGUUAGCUGUGACUAACAAACUUCUCUACCUAACCUUUUUUCCGUUAGAAAAUACGUUCCAAGCUCCCCCGCAGGACUCUGGGAACAAGAGAGAUCUCUGCGCCCGGGCAGCCCCUCCAGAGAGGAGACUCCUUCGGGAGGGAGGAAGCAGGGGCGGGAGCAGGCGUUGCAGGGCCUCCCAGCAGCCGUGCGCCCCGGGCAGUUAUCCGCUGCCUGUCUGGGCCUCUGUUUCCCUACAUUUAGAGCCAGAUAGUCGUACAUGCAGAGCUCUGAGAGUCAGAGACAAGAUAGGAGAGUGUCCAAAAACAGGCUCUGCACACUGAAUAAAACAAAGCAGAAGCACAAGUUUAUUGCAAGGCUUUCGACCGGCAAGCCAGGAAACUCAAGGCUAUGGGAGCAGUGAGUUCCAAGUUGCUCACGGACCACGGGAUUUUCCUGGGAUAAAUGCACAAGAUAUUCGGCUUCUGCAGCUGAUCGGUGGCCCAGCAGUCUUCUUUCUUACUUGGAUCCGGGUAGCUGAGUCAGGGGAAGUCCAGAGAUGGCGUGAACGGACUUGGCAUUUGGGGAUUGGCUGGUGAACUCUGCUGAUUUCCGAGAUCUGUCAAUUCCUGUUAAUAAGGCUCCAGGAGGGUGCCUUCCUUUCCCAGGAUCACCCUUCAAGUGUCACCUCAUGGGAGGUCACCAACCCUGGGCCAUGAGCCUCCUCCCCCACCUCGAAGACCUGAGCAGCAUCGGUGGACUCGUACAGCACACCCAUCCUUUCCCUCUUUCUUUCCAUUCCUUGCAGAAAAUAGCACAGUUGCUACUGCAGGGCUUUGAAUCGCAAGCCUGCUGGCUGAAGACACAGUGACUUUUCUCAAUUUUCUUAUAACACACGCCACGUGGAAUCAUCUCAUCCAACUGAGUUGGGCAGCAGGUGUCUCUUGUGCACAAAGAAAAAGGUUGUUUAUAGAAACCAGAAAUAUCACUUAUGCAGUUGUACCCUGACCGUCAGCCCUGUACGGCACUCAGUGUUGGUAAGACACACCUCUAAAUUCCAAGAGCUUAAAAUAUCCUCUAAGAGAGACGCACGUUCAAGAGCACGCAGCACGUGGUCACUACAGAGGAAGUGCCAGUGCAGGCCCCCUAGUACAAGGAGGGAGCUGUGAAUCCCCCUGGAAUAAACGGGAGGUGCUGAAGAGAGGAAAAAUUGAGAAGUCGAAUGGAUGUUGGUUGAACUUAACUAGCUGGAGCCGGACGGGCAUUCCGCUCAUGGCAAGUCGCCUGGGAGUGGGUUUGCCAGCAAGCACAAGGUCCGCGCAGGACCGCUGCAUGAGUGCUCACAUAACACAAUUAGUGCACAAUGGAACUACCGUCAUGAAAACUUCUUGGUUGCCCUAAAGCUCUUGGCUCAUGGUCUGAAAUAAGGUUGACUUUGUUUCUGUUGGAAUUCUGAAGGUUCUGGAUCUGGGUGAAAGGAUACCUUGGAGAUUUAGGGAGUUUAUUUUGGUUCUCAGAUGACAUACUGCCUGAGUUUAUGAUGCACCAAUGAAACUGAAAGUGAAGAUGGAAUCUAGUGGGGGUGCCCAGUGGCGCAGUGGUUAAGUUCGUGUGCUCCACUUUGGUGGCCCAGGGUUCGCAGGUUAGGAUCCCGGGUGCAGACCUACACAUCACUCAUCAAGCCAUGCUGUGGCAGCAUCCCAUUUACAAAAUAGAGGAAGAUUGGCACAGAUAUUAGCUCAAGGCUAAACUUCCUCAGCAAAAAGAGGAAGAUUGGCAACAGAUGUUAGCUCAGCGACAAUCUUCAUCACACACACACAAAAAGAUAGAAUCUAGCUCAGCAGACGAGCAGCAGCCUGGGCCUGAGGAUGAAACUCAGUGUGGAAUUUCAGGCCACUCAUGAGCUGCCCAGCCAGCUCUGUCUUCCUGCGGCCCCAGCAUCCUGGGGAACUCUCAGCUGUGCAUCCCCAAGCAUACUGCACAAUAUCUGGAAUCUUCUUUGCCUGAGUUCCUGUCAUCUCAGACCCUAAUUCCAACUUUCUGUGGGACCUGCUCAGCAUCUCCGCUUUGUUGUGAAUGGAAUGGGAGUAAUACUGGCUUUAUGAGGUCAUUACGAGGAAGAAGAGAUAAAGUACAUGAGGAGAGUAUUUGCCAAAAUGCCUGGUACAUGCUCACUCUUCUCACGGUUCAAAUGAAGCUGCACACGGAAGAUCCUCUAGAGGUCUUCACUUGUUUACAUGUCACGCUAAGGUUCAUCCAGCUUCGGCCCAGAUUGCAAAUGAUAAGGCAAAGUCCACUCAUUCUAUUAAAAUCCAUCUCCUGCCAUAUGAAGAAAGAAAAGAUAAUUAUGAGAAUGCGUUUACAGUUAAAUUCAGAUAUCUAUACAUGAGAUGUGAAGAAAAGUUUGUAUUCACCACAUAGUGACACGCAGAUGCAGACACACAUUAAAAUAUAGUCAUCAGGGGCCACAGAUAUAUUAUGAAAGAGGAAAUGUGUGCAGGGAAAAAUAAGAUUCCGCUGAAAGAAACAAAACCCUUUUGCCUCCAGAACUCUCAUUUUGAGGUGUGGAAGAGGACCCUCCGUGGUGGUCAGCAAGUUGCGGCUGUUAUAAACUUAGAGCAAAUGGACGUUCGGACACUUUUGUUACAUGUUUACAUCAAAAGGAAAUGAGAGCAAACAAUAUGGAGUGACUGGGCAUUGCAGCAGCUGAAUCCAUCUCAUAAAGCAAAACUACUGCCAUUUAUGUAACCAAAUGACUAUUGGGGAGAGAGAUUACUUCCAAUUAAAAAAAAAAGUCAGGCCUGAUGGCCUAGUGGUUAAAGUUUGGCGCGCUUCACUUCAGUGGCCCGGGUUCAGUUCCCAGGCGCAGGGCCACUCUGCUCCUCUGUCAGUAGCCAUGCUGUGGCCAUGGCUCACACAGAAGAACCAGGAGAACUUACAAAUACACAACUAUCUAGUAGGGCUUUGGGGGGUGAGGUGGAAGGAAGAAAAACGGAAGAAGAUUGGCAACAGAUGCUAGCUUAGGGUGCAUCUUCCCCUGUGAGAAAACAAACAAAAGAAAAAACACCUACAACUUAAAAAAAACACUUAAAUGAGAUAUGUUUCUCAAGAAGGCCAAACGUUAAAAAUGAACCUCAAUAAAAUAGGAAAAAAAGAAAAAAGCUGUGCUGGCUCUGUGAGCAGAAAAUGAAGGAAAAAUUAGUGUUCUGGUCUCAGUGUCUGCCAGCAUCAGGCAGCAGCUAUGACAAAGCAUUAAACUAUAAUUGCUCAGAAACUGCCACAUACAUCAAAGAACAAAGUAUGGGAGCAGACAACAGCAAUGGCCACAGAAAGCCCAUUUUCAGAGAAAUGAUUUGGUAUUUCUGUGGAGCAACAACUCAAAAUGCACUAUAAAAUUAUAAUAUUUUGAAAUUUACUGAAGUCCAAGUACAAGAUUUAUAUUUCUGAAGAGUAAUGAAUUACCUAAGUACACCCUGCAAAGAGGUCUCUGCAUGUUCAAAACUUCACUCCCCCCACCUCCGUGACAUUAUGUGACGCUUGCUCUGAAUAUUUACCUUCUACUGAGUCUAAAGCUUAUGACACCGUUGGUGGCUAAGCAGUCCUUCGGGCAUUUUGAAGAUGCUAUUCUAUCGUAAGCAUCUUGCACCGAUCCUUCGAGAUUCUUGAAAGCCAAUACAGCAAAUGGAAGAGAAAUCCCAAUCAGGCAGCUUGGUCACAGAGAAAGCAAAGUGAAAUAUUUGAUGGAGCAGCAAAAACCAACGGAUCAUCAAAAAAGAUUUACCAGCUGAGCAGCAGCAACUGGUGGUACCAGAACACCCUUCCCCCAAAGCAAUUACAAGCUGCGCUCUGCCAGCCAGUUAGGAUGGAAAGGAAAAUGCCCAUCAUGAAAAUCAAGGCUGAAAGGAAGAAAGACAACCCUUUACAGAAUAAAUAUAAUAGAAUAUAAUAAAUAUAAUAGAAGAAAUAAAUAUAAUAGAAAUAAUAAAUAAUAGAAAUAAAUAUAAUACAAG
ensembl:lncRNA